UACAGAGGUCUCAAGCGUUGUUCGGAUUCAUUGGGCGUAAAGGGUGCGUAGGCGGCGCGGUAAGUCGGGUGUGAAAUCUUGGAGCUUAACUCCGAAACUGCAUUCGAUACUGCGUGCUUGAGGACUGGAGAGGAGACUGGAAUUUACGGUGUAGCAGGUGAAAAUGCGUAGAGAUCAUGAGGAAGACCAGUGGCGAAGGCGGGUCUCUGGACAGUUCCUGACACUGAGACACGAAGGCCAGGGGGAGCAAACGGG
rnacentral:rRNA from 1 species